GGUGCUAUAGUAUAGUGGUUAGUAUAAUGCUUUGUGGCAGCAUUGACGAGAGUUCGAUUCUCUCUGGCGCCA